AAAGUCGUAACAAGGUCUCCGUAGGUGAACCUGCGGAGGGAUCAUUAACACGUUUAUCCAACGUAUACACCCGCGAACUGUUGUGUUCUGACAGGAGUCUGCGACCCUUCGGGGCUGUGGACUCGCUGUUACACUUAUUACUUUUUAACCCUUGUAAUAAUCUUGUCCUAAAAGCGUUGGAUGUGCUUAACGGCCAUUCAAACAAAAAAACAACAUACGUACAACUCUUAGCAACGGAUAUCUUGGUUCUC
rnacentral:misc_RNA from 1 species